CCUCCCGAGUGCUGGGAUUAAAGGCGAGUGCCACCAAUGCCCGGCCUGAGCAGCUCUUUUUGGGAGAGAGAAGUUGCCACAUUUCCUUUUCCCUUCUAGAAGAAUGGAGACGCUUUCCGUCAGGAAAACUAUUCUAGUUUGGAUGAAUUAAACAACAGGCAUUUAGAUGGAACCUUAGGUUGAUCCAAGGAGCAAAGGACACAGUGCGCCUAGAGCUUCAAUGGGAAACAGGUGCAGCUUAGGAGGGAUGCCUCCAUACCACUGGCUCUGCCUCCUAGAGCAAUUAAACCAUUUCUAUCAGAAGAGGAAGGCAGGUUAACAAGGAGCCCUGGUUUUGAUUCUCUUUUCUUUUUUACUUAGACAGGAGUCUUUAUAUUGCCCAUGCUGUACUCCAACUCCUAGGAUCAAACAAUCAGCUCCAGAGUCAGCCUCCAGAACAGCUAGGGGGAAAUAGAUGUGUGCCACCAGCUUGGCAAGCCCUAAAGUUGAGAUCCAAAAAUAGCACACAGACACACGUGGGAAGUCGGAGGACAGCUAGCAGGAGUUCGUUCUCUCCUUCCAUCAUAGUCUUACUAUGUAGCUAGCUCAUGCAGUUCUCAAGAUGGCCAUCCUCCUGCCUUAUCUCUCCACCUGCUGGGAGCUGAGGUAUUCACCACUAGGUAUGUCUUACACAUCUUAGGCUCUUUCUAUACAGCUGGGAAUGACCUUGAACUUCUGUUCCUCCUGCCACUCCCAAGUCCCCAGUGAUAUGCACCUAGAUUGGUGAAACAGGGCAAGUGGGGAAUGGGCAGGCUUGUGUAAGUAUGGUGCUACAGACUGAACCCAGGACUCUGUGUAUCCAGGGGAGCACACUACCAACUGAGCUCCACACUGCUUUUAUGUGGUACUGGGGAUUGAACCUAGAACUUUGUACAAGCUAGGCAAGUACUCUACCAACUGAGCUCUUCCCCAGCCCUAUUAACUUAUUUUUAAAUUUUAUUUAAGUAAAAAAAAAAGACAUUAUGAAUCACAUGCCAUAAAUUUCACCCUUUGAAAGUAAAUAGUCCAGGGCUUUUGUUUUCUUUAGACAGGAUUUCACCCAGGCUGGCCUAGAAGACACUGUGUAGGCCAGGCUGGGUUUGAAGUCACAUAACCCUUUUUCCUCAGCCUCUUAGUCUUAAUCAUUAGUAUCUUUUUCUUUUCUAUUUUUGAAACAGAGUCUGAUAUGCCUAGUCUGGUCUCAAAUUCACAAUGUAGUCAAGGCUUACCUUGAACCUUAAAAAAAUUGUAUGUAUUUGUGUGAGUGUCUUUGUGUACUCGCCCACACAGGGAAUGUGUGAGGUCAAAGGGCAAGCUGUGGGAGUCAGUUCUUUUCUUCUACCAUCUGUGUCCUGGAGAUCAAAGUGAGGUCAUCUUUGAUCAGAUUUGGCAGCAAGUGCCUUUAAUGUCGGAGCCAUCUUGCCAGCUCUGGCCUUGAACUUGUAACUCUCCUGAGGCUGGAAUCACAGGCAUGAGCCACUGUUCAUGAUUUUCAGGUGUGCUGGGCGAGCACUGUAUCAAAUGAGCUACAUCCUCAGCCCCAUGAUCUAUAUUUCCUUUCUUUCUUUUAAAUAAUUUAUUUUAUGUGCAUUGGUGCUUUGCCUGCAUGUAUGUGUGAGGGUGUCAGAUCUAGGAGUUGUCAUAUGAGUGCUGGGAACUGAAUCUGGGUUCUCUGGAAGAGCAGUCAGUGCUCUUAACCUCUGAGCCACCUCUCCAGCCCUAUAUUUCACUUCAAUUUCAAUUCAAGUAUGAACACAUGACUACUAUCAUAUUGGUGUGAGGGUGUCAGAUCCCCUGGAACUGGAGUUACAGAUAGCUGUGAGCUGCCAUGUGGGUGUUAGGAAUUUAACCCGGGUUCUGGGGAUGAGCAGCCAGUGCACUUAACCACUGAGUCGUGUCUCCAGCCUGACUGCUAUCAUAGGUCCAGGUCACUGUUUUGACCACAGUGAAAAGCACAAUGCCUGUCACUGAAUUAGUGCUCAAUAUUGGUUAAAAGGAUGAAUGAACAAAUAGCACUGCCUCCCUUGAGAGACAGAGCCUCUGGGCUCUAGCCUCCUCCCAGUGGGCAAGGGGAAGGUACAGGGAACUGAGGCAGACGAUUCUGUUGCAUUACCAGCAG